GUGUGUGUGUGUUGAAUUCUCUUUGUAAUCAGCAGAUAUGUUCUAAUAUUUUGCUUAUAACCAAAGAUACACUUUUUUUUUUUUUUUUUUGCUAUUUUUGUCCAUUGCAACAGUUGUAUAGCUUGGGUGUAAAAGGGUAGAUUAGCUCCGUUUCCACAGGCAGCUGGCUCGUUUGUUUUCUUGGGGGCAAAAGCAGGACUCUGACCUGAAUUUUGUUUUAAGAUGUUGACUCUGUCUGCUUUGUCGAGAAGAGACUAUGAGGGAGAGGGUGGAGUCACGAAAUCAGUCAGGAAACCGUUUUUAUAUUCCUGGUGAGAAAUGAUGGAGAUGUGAAUGAAAGUGGACAAGUGGAGGACCUGAGGAUUGAGUUGACUCUGGAUAUAUUUUGAAGUUAGAGAAGAACCCAGGAGGUAAUGGAUUAGAUCUUUGAUGUGGAGGAAAGAUGAGUCCAAGGUACCUCCAAAGUUUCUUGUUUGAGCUUCUUGUGUGAGGGUGGAGUUGCCAGUUUGCAAUGUAGACAUUGUAGAUCUUUGAUGUGGAGGAAAGAUGAGUCCAAGGUACCUCCAAAGUUUCUUGUUUGAGUUUCUUGUGUGAGGGUGGAGUUGCCAGUUUGCAAUGUAGACAUCUGAGGCAGACAAAAGUUGGUGAAUACGGAGAAUACCAACAACUCAGCUUUACACAUGUUAGAUUGGCAUAAGCAUAAGGAUAAUUGAUCCUGAGGUUGGUUAGAGCUGGAGGCAUAUACAUUUUGGAGUUAUUGGCCCAUAGAUAUAUGGUACACCCACACAAAAGAAAUGUAUGUAAAUUAACAGAUACAGAGAGAGAGAGAAGAGGUCUAACGUGGUGUCUUGUGUCAUACUACAAUGCUGGAUCCUAAGGUGAAGAAAUGUUUCACUUUGUUGAUAUUGCUAGUUUUCUGGAGUCAUUGUGGCAAUUUACUGUCUCAGUUGCAGUUGGGAUUUCCAUUUGCUCCAGAUUCUUUCACGUACCUUUGUUAUCCUUGAGUCAGUUUUAACUUAUCGUAAACUUGUGUUUCAACCUCGAUGGUCUUAACGGUAACCCUGAAGGCACAGACUUAAGAGUUCAUCAGUGGAACACAACACUAGGGGGAAUGGAUUCAUUCUGAAAGUAACAACAUUUCCUAGUGGUACUGCUACCACUACUACCAAUCAACACUUAUUUGGUGGUUACUAUGCACCAGUGAUGAUUCUGUGUGUAUCAACAAUAUCUAUUAAGUGUCACAGCAGCUCAGUAUCUUGAAGGCUAUUUAUCGUGCUUCUCAUUUUAUAGAUGAAAAAAAUGAGGCACAGAGAGAUUAAACAUCUUGGCUAAGGUUGCAAACUGAGUGAGUGGCAGUGUCAAGAUUCGAAGCCAUGUAAGCAGGUUUAAACUUGUGCUCUUAUCUACAUGUUUGACUGCCUCUCACUAAGCAAUUGUGAACACGAACAGUUGUUUAGUAAAUCUUGUGCUGCUCCCUUAGAUUGGCUGUGAUGUACAGUUCACACUUUCCUCCAUUUGACUUUGUUAAAUCAGCAGAGGAGAAUCAGUGCCUAAGGAUUAUAAACUUCUUUUCGGACUUAGAGAUUUACAGUGUGUCUGUUUAAAUGUGUGCAAAAAUGACUUUAGAUGUUGCAGAACUGACUUUAAAGUAGUACACUAUCAAAUAACGUGUGAAAUCCAAAUGACCUAGUUAAGAGAUCAUGACACUCACAUUUCUCCAUGGCUGUUUUAGAUUUUGUGCCUUAUAAGGGUGACUGGUUAAAAGUUGAAUAUUCCACUGAACCAGGCUUCUCAAACUUCAAGGCAAGCUCUGUGAAGCCCACCCGUUGUAUUCAUGCGGAAGAGGUCCGCGUUACUCACAUACGUGGAAGAAAUGGGGUGAUAAGUAAUAAUAUCUUUUUCACCUUGGAUUCUGUGAAACUUCCUGAUGGAUAUGUACCUAAAGUAGAUGAUAUCGUCAAUGUGAUUAUGGUGGAGAGCACUCAGUUCUGCUUUAAGUGGAGAGCGGUUUCUAUCAUCCCAGCACAAAAAUUGUAAUGACAAAGCUUUUUUUAUUCUGUUUAUCUUUCCUUCUAUGAGCAGUAAAGGGGCUGGUUUAACUGAAAAGGUUAGCUUAGUAAGCCUAAAUAGUAUUUUACAUAUGGCUUUUCCGGCAAAUCUAAUUGAGAUACUGGCUAGUUCAAUUGGACCAUGAACCCAGCUUAGGGAAAUAACUUAUCAAUUAAAAAGCAUGCUAAAUUAGCUUGCUAGGCACUGGAGGAAAGGAGUUCUUAAUUAAAAUGAACACUGCCAUUAAAUUUGAAUUCCAUGUUUCCCAUUAGCAGCAGCAGAUUCAGGAUGGCGGAGGCCUGGGGCGGCCCUAAAGGGAACCUCGGAGCCAAAGCAUUUAACUGAAAAGGCAGCAGGGACAGCAUGUUAAAGGCAUGAUUUAAAGUUACAAUUUAACUUCAGUUUUGAGUCCCCCUUAUGCUGUCUGUACAAUCUGUAUUAUUCCAUAAUCUCUUUCAUCUUCUGUCAUUCACAUAAUUUGCAAUGUUUAUUGUUUCCUUGUGUUCCUUCUUCCCCAUGCUAGAAUGUGAACUCCACAAUGGCAGGAUGUGUUUUGGUCUGUUUUUUCUUUCUUUCUUUUUCUUUUUUCUUUCAUUAAAGCAUCACCAACACUUAGAAGAAGGUGUCACAGACUCAAGGAGCAGAUAAAAUGUUAUUAACUUCAAUGACUGAAUGAUUGGGCCAGCAAUGAUAUUUAGCUGUGCCUCAUUCAUCACCGGUUCCUUAGUAAUAAAAUUGUUGAGCAAUGCA